AGUGAACGCUGGCGGUAGGCCUAACACAUGCAAGUCGAACGGCAGCACAGGAGAGCUUGCUCUCUGGGUGGCGAGUGGCGGACGGGUGAGGAAUACAUCGGAAUCUACCUUUUCGUGGGGGAUAACGUAGGGAAACUUACGCUAAUACCGCAUACAACCUUCGGGUGAAAGCAGGGGACCUUCGGGCCUUGCGCGGAUAGAUGAGCCGAUGUCGGAUUAGCUAGUUGGCGGGGUAAAGGCCCACCAAGGCGACGAUCCGUAGCUGGUCUGAGAGGAUGAUCAGCCACACUGGAACUGAGACACGGUCCAGACUCCUACGGGAGGCAGCAGUGGGGAAUAUUGGACAAUGGGCGCAAGCCUGAUCCAGCCAUACCGCGUGGGUGAAGAAGGCCUUCGGGUUGUAAAGCCCUUUUGUUGGGAAAGAAAUCCAGCUGGCUAAUACCCGGUUGGGAUGACGGUACCCAAAGAAUAAGCACCGGCUAACUUCGUGCCAGCCGCCGCAGUAA
rnacentral:rRNA from 1 species